GACACGGGACAGAAAAUCCAACUCAACCGAUCUGGAGCUGAAGAUGAGAUGGAUCCUACUCAAGACACAGGGAUAAGAGGGAUCUAUUUUCAAAGGAAACAAGACAGUCUUAGCAAAAGAAGAGAAAUGGAGGCGACUUUUUGGCAAAUACUGCAUCUUCAGCCAGGAGAAGUUGGCUGAGGACAAAAGGGCUUUUGAAGCGGUGUGGAAUUGCUGCAUUCUGUGGUAUGGAGAACCCUCCAUACUGUUCUCUACAGUAGGCUGCACCAACUCACAUUCCCACGAACAAGAUCUUAGUGCAGAGCAUACAGCACAAAGUAUGUGAGGAUCACGUUUUAUUGUGUCCAGGUGACAUUGGGAAGGUGCGUGGACUUGGAUGUCCCAUAUAACGAAUCUGGAUCCCUUAACUCUGUGAUUAAUUGGCAGUGAGGUCUGAGACAGAACAUCUUGUCUGAGCCCCAUUCCCUGUUUGUAAAAUGGGAAUGAGAGUAAUGGCUUCCCAAGGUGCCUUUUUUGAGGAUUGUCACAUUUAAUCCUUUCACUGUCAUUAUCACUCUCACUAUUUGGGUUUUACAGAUGAGAAAACUGAGGUUCAGGGGAGCUGAUUUGCCUCACCCCAAAUCACACAGCUACUCCUUGAAAGACAGGAGUCCCUUCCGGGCAAGCCUGCUCUGUUUGACUUCAUAGCAGACUUUUCAGGUCUGUGGUGUGAAACGUAAUGCGCUGAAUCACCGAGCACAGUGCCAGAAACGGAGCAGGUCCUCUCUGCUGCUGUUGGGUGAUUAACUGGUGAUAGAGGGUUCGAGGCAGACUUGCAAAGCUGUGCUCAGAACAAAAGGCCCAAUGUCUGGAUCAUGUUUCUCUGACUCUUCUUUUCUGAGCCCACUGCCAUUUCUCCCUCCACUCAGAAGAAAGGGCAGUCCUGGAGCCACGAUUCAGCAGCCUCAGUGUUUAGGGGGCAACAAAGCCAACACGAAACAGAGGCGGUUUUGCUCCUUGAAGCCCAACUCCAUCCCAGGAACAGUGGUGGCCUGAUGCCUUCCUCUCAUCUCACAUCACACCUCAAUCUGUCAUUGAUUGGAUCUAGAUGAAGCACCCUGUCUUUGGAGCAGGAUCAAUUUAGCCGAUUUGUCUCAUUUAGAGGCUGCUGAGAUCAGUCCCUUGAAGCUCAGGAUUGGCAAAGGGCAAAUGUCUUUAUGUGAGUUUGUAUUUAAUUAAACUGCUCCUGGUUCAAUUAGUAAAAUUCUCCCCCUGGUUGCCAGACACAGGUGUGAGCAAAAAGUGACCUCCGAAGCUGGACAACUGUGGUUAAAUAUGGCCAUCGGGUAAAAGAGUGCAUCUCAGGGCAGAGAAUUUUUUUUUUCCUUCA